GCUUCCCGGCGGGCUUGGACUGGGAGGCACCGGGACCCGCCGGCUCUGAGGGUGUUGUCUGCAGAGGUGCGGGCCGCGAUCUGUCCUCUGGGACUGCGAGAGUGAGUCAACCUGCGAACGCAAGGCGACCAAGUGACUUGCCCAGUUCCCCAGGGGUCUUUGGUUCUGCCUGAAAUCGUCUGUCCUGGAGGAACCGAAAUCACUUACUCUGCUUCUUCCUAUAAGAUCACAGGCCCCGGUGGGCACGGUGGCGCACGCCCGUUACCCCCGGGGCUCGGCUGGCUGAAGCAGAAGGAUCGCAAGGUCUGGGCCAUCUCAAGGUCUGGGCCGGCCUCGGCAACUUAGCCAGACCCAGUCUCUAAAUAAAAAGGACUGGAAUGUAGCUCAGUGGUAAAGCACCUCUGGAUUCAAUUCCCGGUACCGAAAAAAAAAAAGAAAGAAAGAAACAGACACAUGCUGAAUGAUCCACCACAUAUUGUCAGUGGUUUACUUUAAAAACCAAAGGCAGGAGAAGAAGCAAUGUUUAGGCAUUUCGAAGCCAGUUUUCAUGAAAGCCCAUAAAUUGUGGAGAUGAGUUGUUAAUGUUAUCUUAUAUUUGUAUCGAGAUUAGCACGACGCCUGCUCGGCAAGGUGAUGCACGACAGGAAUCCCAGCAGAGGCUCAGGAGGAUGAGUCACGAGGAUCGCGAGUUCAAAGCCAGCCUCAGCAACUUUGUGAGGUCCUGAAAGCAACUCAGCUAGACCCUGUCUAAAUAAAAUAUAAAAAGGGCAGGGGAUGUAGCUCACUCGUUAAGCACCACUGGGUUCAAUUACUGGUACCAAGAUUUAAAAGGAAAAAGAAAAUAGUUUUCCAAGCCACAGUACUGUUGAUACCAUUGUUUGAGGGGUGUUUUGUUGGGGGAGGGGGGUGCUUUUUUGGUUUUUUUUUUUGUUGUUGUUUUUUUAAUUGUAAAAGCUAGGUGGGUGCAGUGGCGCAUGCCUGCAAUUCCAGUGGCUCUGGAGGCUGACGCAGGAAGAUCUCAAGUUCAAAGCCAGCCUCAGCAACUUAGCAAGGCACUUAGCAACUCAGUGAGAGCCUGUCCCUAAAUAACGUAUAAAACAGGGCUGGGGAUGUGACUCAGUGGUUGAGCACCCGGGUUCAAUCCUCAGUACCAAAAAAAAAAAAAAUUUGCAAAAGGUAACUGGGCAUGGUGGUGCAGGCCAGUAAUUCCCCUUCUCUCAGGGGAAUCACAACUUCCAUUUAACAAGACCCUGUCUGAGCAAUUAACAAGACUCUGUCUCAAAAUUUAAUUUUUUUUUUUAAGAGGCUAGGGAUGUAGCCUCAUGGGUUCAGUCCCCAGUACCACAUUUAAAAAAAAUAAAAAACAAAUGACAAUCAGCCUCCUACACACAAUUUUUAUAUAGUAAACAAGAAUCCAGUAAAUAGGAUUGUUUUAUUUAUUUUUUUUUAUCUUAAUUUUUUUUUUAGAGAAUUUUAAUAUUUAUUUUUUAGUUUUCUGCGGACACAACAUCUUUAUUUGUACGUGGUGCUGAGGAUCCAACCCGGGCCGCAUGCAUGCCAGCCGAGCGCACUACCGCUUGAGCCACAUCCCCAGCCCCAAUAGGAUUGUUUUAAAUCCACUAAAUUUCAUUUAAGACAAUGUCUUUGGGCCUUGCUAAAUUGCUGAGGCUGUCUUUGAACUUGUGAUCCUCCUAUCUCAGUCUCCCAAGUCAUACUCCAUCAUGCCCAGCCAGAAAAUCCAGUAAGGGAGAACUGUGGGCCACAAUACAGACUGCAACGCUAAUCAAGUAAGCAAGUGGAGAAAUGCCUACCACAAAAAUGGACCUUGAAGAAGGCUUUCCUGUAUAAGCAGUCAGAGCAGAGCACCUCGCCCCUAUAUUGGCAAAGAAUUGGAUUUCCUUACCCAUAACAUCCAAGAUUACCUGACGUUCCUCAAGAGAGAUGGUAAUGUCACAUAGGAGCUUCUGUGGCCACCUCCGGUAUCCUCAGUCAACAUUUUCUCCAUCCAGGAGGGUCUGUGCUGCUAUG